rnacentral:lncRNA from 1 species
GACAACCCUCUAUAAUAUAAAGUACUUAUUUUCUAAUAUAUUAUGUUCUUUAGUUAUCUUUAUGUUUGUUUAUUUGUUCCUUAAUCAAAUUAAUGCUUUCAUUCUCCGCUAAUCUCACCCAUUAAGCGUUUUUGUUGUAUAAUAAUAUCUUAUAUAUGUUUGCUCUGUACGUCAAUCUCCCUAGGCAAUGAUUAUCACUAAAUUUUGGUUUAGGCUAGCUAGCUGAGUUUGGAAUGAACUUGGCAAACACCCAAAAAAAA